GUGGUGCACGUGUGGAGUCAAUUAGCUAUUAUUAGGAUUUGAUGUCUUGAGAUUUGAUCCACAUUGAACCCACAGCGAGGUCCGCGACGAAAAACGGAGUCCAACGAGAUCAAGAUGACCCCAAACGGAGUCCGGACGGAGAAGAUACGCGUGAUUGAAGUCGGCAUAGAACUCGAUGUGGUGGAGGAUCGCUAGUGGCCGGCGGAGCGGCGGC
rnacentral:lncRNA from 1 species